CACUUCUUCUGAGGGAGUGAAGAAAGAGGCCAAGUUCAGAAUUGUACCAAUUGACUACCUUGACCUGGACAUAAGCACCAGAAUGGUUGCACUCAACAACAAAGACUGUACUGGGAAUAGAAAGAUGAACAAGACAGUGCACUUCCCUUCAAAGAGCUUACAGAAUCACAACCAGCAGAGAGAUUUUAAAGGCCUCUUGCUGCAUGAGAUGGAACAGUAAGACCAGAGGGAUCCUGUUUCUUCAUUUAUUUCAGUACCAGCAACCCCAUUGAGUUCAUCACAUCCUCAUAUAACACGGUGCAUGUCACAUAAAGAGAGUCUCAUGCUUUGAUAUGAAACCAAGCUACUUUAACAUAGACUACUCUGGGAUCCAGGAAGAUAAAAAGCAGAUGGAAUAGCAAUAACAACAACUAAAGGACAGAAAAACCUAGCAACCACAAGGCAAGAGCAAGAUAAAAAUAAGAAUAAUAAAAGAUAAAUGCACGAAUUCCUAAACACCUUCCUCCUCUUCUCUCAGGAGUUCCAAUGCCUGAAUAGGAAAAUAACAGACAUCCCAGAAGAAUACUGAACAAUGCAUACAAAUAAGUACAUCGCUGAAGAAGCAAACUGCCCAAUAAAGUCUUCAAUCUUUGAGCUCUGGCUUGAGAAAAAAGGAGAACAUAGUUCUACGGAUGGAGGAUGAUUCUAUUUACAGAGAAAAUAACAUUUUCACGGAUUUUGGAGAGUAGAAUGUAGACAUCUUUGAGGACCAUUCUUCUGCCUACCAUGCCAUGUAACUCUGAU
rnacentral:lncRNA from 1 species